rnacentral:rRNA from 1 species
GACGAACGCUGGCGGCGUGCUUAACACAUGCAAGUCGAACGGAAAGGCCCUGCUUUUGUGGGGUGCUCGAGUGGCGAACGGGUGAGUAACACGUGAGUAACCUGCCCUUGACUUUGGGAUAACUUCAGGAAACUGGGGCUAAUACCGGAUAGGAGCUCCUGCUGCAUGGUGGGGGUUGGAAAGUUUCGGCGGUUGGGGAUGGACUCGCGGCUUAUCAGCUUGUUGGUGGGGUAGUGGCUUACCAAGGCUUUGACGGGUAGCCGGCCUGAGAGGGUGACCGGCCACAUUGGGACUGAGAUACGGCCCAGACUCCUACGGGAGGCAGCAGGGGGGAAUAUUGCACAAUGGGCGGAAGCCUGAUGCAGCAACGCCGCGUGCGGGAUGACGGCCUUCGGGUUGUAAACCGCUUUCGCCUGUGAAGAAGCGGGAGUGACGGUAAUGGGUAAAGAAGCACCGGCUAACUACGUG